ACAUUUCUUUGCACUGGAGAAAUGAUCUCAUUAACAAACUAGUUCUGUGCGUCCUUAACACAGGCCCCUUGCCUGCAGCUGGAGCCAGCUCUCUGUUCAGCCCCAGUGCAGAGUGACACAGACAAGCGACAGCGUCGCUGAGCGCUAACUUCUAUUCCACCGAGGCAGACAGCGAAAACCAUUUCAGAACCAUGGCAAGGCAUGAGAGAAGCACAGGGAUAAAGUCAGUGAGAAAGAGUAUGAAGUACAUAUGGUCUUAUUGUCUACCUGACCAUUGUUGACCAUGAGUAAUUGAAACGAC
rnacentral:lncRNA from 1 species